rnacentral:rRNA from 1 species
UAGGGAAUCUUCCGCAAUGGACGAAAGUUUGACGGAGCAACGCCGCGUGAGUGAUGAAGGUUUUCGGAUCGUAAAACUCUGUUGUUAGGGAAGAACAAGUAUCGUUCGAAUAGGGCGGUACCUUGACGGUACCUAACCAGAAAGCCACGGCUAACUACGUGCCAGCAGCCGCGGUAAUACGUAGGUGGCAAGCGUUGUCCGGAAUUAUUGGGCGUAAAGCGCGCGCAGGCGGUUUCUUAAGUCUGAUGUGAAAUCUUGCGGCUCAACCGCAAGCGGCCAUUGGAAACUGGGAGACUUGAGUGCAGAAGAGGAGAGUGGAAUUCCACGUGUAGCGGUGAAAUGCGUAGAGAUGUGGAGGAACACCAGUGGCGAAGGCGACUCUCUGGUCUGUAACUGACGCUGAGGCGCGAAAGCGUGGGGAGCGAACAGG